CAGAAAUCAACUGCACUUUAUUUGUUUGCUUUGAGACUUCUUUGAGCACUCCUACAGAAACAAUUGAAAAAAAAAAAUGUAACAGAAAAGAAAUGAAUAUUUUAGAAUAACAUUGCAAUUUCAUGAUUUUAAGACUUUUUAAGUCACAGUCCACUUACGCUCAGCAAUUGUAAACAAGUUUCUAUCCUGCAAAGUCUCCUGGAACUCACCACCCGUAUGCUUUCUGCUCUCCUAGUAUUGUUUUCACCUAAUUGUUUUUUGUUGUUGUUUUUAUGUUUAUUUUUUUUUUUUUUACUUCUGUAUAAUCAAUGAAUGUACAGAUGUUGUAGUUAUAAAAUAAACCAGAGAGUUUGGCUACACAGUUAUCAUACCAAAACAAAAUAGAUAGAAUGCCUACCCACAUCCUGGGCUCACUAUGAAACUCCAGAGUAGGGAUCUCCAGAAGAGAUCCUUCCCCACUGGUAGUCAGCUCUUAAAUGGGUCUAGGAGAGGUGCAGCCAGGCUCCACCCCUUCCGGCAGCACAGGUGAAUUGCCUUCACCUGUGCUUCUGUGGCUGACUCAUUGUUCACCUCAGGUGAUCAAUCAGAGGUUCAGGCCGUGAUUCAGUGGUUUCCGUACAACUUCUCACUCCUCAAUGAUUUCUCUAUUUCUAUUCCUUACUUUUCUUGCUGCUAACAUGCUUCCCUCAUGUACCAGUGUAGCAAUAUUCUGUAUUGCUUCCACAACUGCCUUUCAUUCCUACCGCUGGGUCUGAAUACAGGCUCAUGUUUCCUACUUUUCUCCUGAAGAGGGAACCAUCUCAGGAGGCAAUGUGUUGACUACCUGCUCACAGCUUUAAUGUAUAAGCCUGUACUUACUGUGAUGAGUGACACAACCCCCAAAUUAGUCAUGGUCCCAGUUUUUAUAUAUUCACAGGAGUAUUUCCAAAUCUUCCAUUCAGAUGCUACUGUUCAUGUUAAAAACAAAUGGCCCUGGAAUACUCAGCUUCAUGAAACUACUUGUUGAAGAGUGCUAAAGGAUACUUUGGCCUGAAGCCAGCCUGUGUAACUGUUUAUCACCUGCAAACAGUAGGGCCAGAAGGAAAAGCCUGCUGCAGAAAAUUUUAUCUUGUGCUGCUGCCCUGUCUUCCCUCCUUUGCAGUCCCUCUAGGUUUGUGGAAAUGCUCUGUAAUCAGACAGCUAGCCAAACUAAUCUCAAGAAAAAUUGCAAAUACUUUGCUCCCCAUGUUCAAAGGUGAAGUCACAGAUCAAUCUAUCUGGGCAAGGUAGUUCUUCACUGAAGUGCAUGGCUUACAUGGUUUCAUGAAGUGCAUGAAACUCUACAGGGUGUGUUCCACUUGAUAUUUUACAACUUUUUUUCUCAUUAGUUUGAUGCUCCCAUGCAAAAUACUAUGUGGCAUUAUAAAAGUUUAUCCUGUCUCGUGAGUCUUACAGGUCACAGGUACUUUUGUCAAAGCUCUUAAAUUUACUUAUUCUUACAUGAUCUUGAUUGUCUUUAAAAAAAAGGACAAAAGCUCUUUAAUUUUGUGAUUGGCAAUAAAACUGAAAAUGUGAUCCA
ensembl:lncRNA